rnacentral:ncRNA from 1 species
UUUGCUAGGGGUGCCAUAUGGCUGAGAGGGAUAAUUUUCCUAACUCUUAAACCUGAUUUGGAUAAUUCCAACGUAGGGAAGCAUAUUUUUA